rnacentral:rRNA from 1 species
AAUCAACGCUGGCGGCGUGCCUAACACAUGCAAGUCGAACGCGAAAGCCCCUUCGGGGGCAAGUAGAGUGGCGUCCGGGUGAGUAACACGUGGGUAAUCUACCUCCGGGUGGGGAAUAACUCGCCGAAAGGUGGGCUAAUACCGCAUAAUGCAGCGGCACCGAAUGGUGAUUAGUUGUUAAAAGCGGGGGACCUUAGGGCCUCGCGUCU